rnacentral:lncRNA from 1 species
AUCUACCGUUUCAUUUCAUCCGAUUCGGUAACUGAUUUGCGACAAAACCAACCCUCUCCAAUCUCCAAAAACCACACCUAUACAUAUAAAUCCAAUAAAACUCUUUUUCUCGAAGACCGUGCAUUAGAACCCAAAUCCGUCAGUGCCAUUGGGUCCAGAAUAGUCGAACCGUCGAAAACGAGCUAUUGGAUCACUAUGAACGAAGUCCAAUACGCACCAAAAGCCUUCUCCACUCAUUGUCUUCUC